rnacentral:tRNA from 6 species
GCGUGUGUAGCUCAGUUGGAUAGAGCGUUGGCCUCCGAAGCCAAAGGUCGCAGGUUCGACUCCUGCCACGCGCGCCA